UCAUGGCGGCCGUGGAGUAGGAGAGGCUGGGAGCGGGAGACUUGGUGCUGGAACCGUAGCCCAAGCCGGAGCCCGAGCCAGAGCCCAAGAAGGAGCGGCUGCAACGAGAAGCGGGUGGUGUUCCUCUUCGUAUACUGGGGCCACAUCCCGCCGCUCUUCCGGCCUGUGCGCGUGCGCAGCGGGCUUGGCACCACUGGCGAGGUCCGGCGACUUUUCUGUUAGCCCGUGGGUGGUGCGCGCGGCGCAGGGAGAGGACCUUCAAGAAGAAACGGCCCACGUAGAAUAAGGAAUACGCCCAUGGGAGGGGCCAUGGUCGCCCGCAAGCCCUAGUCUCUUCCGGGAAGGCUUGGAAGAAGUGCAUGCACCUGCUCGGCGUGGCCUGGGAUCUCGCCAGAGUCCAGCCUCUGCCCCGGCGGCCUAGGGACGGGUUUAGGUGGCCGGACCCCGAGCGCCCAGCACCGGCCUGGCCUACUACCGCCUGCCCUUCAUAGAGCUGCGGGGAAAUUGUCGUUUUUUGAUUGAUCAGUUUCUGAUGCGGGUUACAGUUCCCUGUUCUAGUGGACUUCACACCUUAUGGAGCCACAUCACACUGGAGGCCUGCAGAUGAAGGUGUCCACUGCUAACAUCGAGGAAGCGGGGAGGACUCACCAAGCAAUGAUGCAUGAAAUUGCUAUGCCCAAUUAAUAUCCUCCCAGAUACUUUUUGGAACCAUGGGAUAAUGUUUGCUGGCCUGGUGUUAAGCUCCGUCAUGGAGGACACUGGAAUGGCAUUGCAGCGAGAAGGGGUUCUCCUUCCAGGCUGCAGGUGCUCCUGCCCCGGGGGCUCAUGCCGGCCCCACUCCUGCUGGGCUGCAGCUCCUCUGGCCCCUGCUCUGGUAGCUCAGGACAGCUCGCAAGCACCCGCCCAGGCAGUUUGGUGGCAGAAUGUCUCCAGCGGGACACCUCCCCGCGAAGAACUUGCCUCCUGCACACCGGAGGGCAGACCAAGGGAUUUCCUGGCCAUUUGGUGAGCCACGGCUGUGCCCUCUCCAACACGGUCUGAAUCUCAGCUGGGCAGGGAAGGGGGGCAGGAUCCCUUCCCUUGAACACUCCCCUUCGGCCCUACCAAUGUCAGCCCCAGCCAUCCCUAUACUCUUACAGUUCUGUUUACCUCCUUGUAGCCCAUGUCUUGUUAUAGUUAAUAAUUUGAUAUAUUAAUUUGAUAUACUUACCCUGUUCAAACUUUUUGUCAGGUUUCUGUCUCUUAAUAAGACUUUCACUGAUAAUGAAUGAAUAAAUGGAACUUCAAUAUUCCAAACUAUUCCCAGAAGUUUGUAUGUUGCCUAUAAGAUGAAUGAUCCAAAUUUUU